UACGGAGGGUGCAAGCGUUAUCCGGAUUCACUGGGUUUAAAGGGUGCGUAGGUGGGUUGGUAAGUCAGUGGUGAAAUCUCCGGGCUUAACCUGGAAACUGCCAUUGAUACUAUCAAUCUUGAAUACCUUGGAGGUGAGCGGAAUAUGUCAUGUAGCGGUGAAAUGCGCAGAUAUCAGGAGGAACACCAAUAGCGAAGGCAGCUCGCUGGGACGUCACUGACACUGAGGCGCGAAAGCGUGGGGAGCGAACAGG
rnacentral:rRNA from 1 species